AGAGUUUGAUCAUGGCUCAGAGCGAACGCUGGCGGCAGGCUUAACACAUGCAAGUCGAGCGGGCGUAGCAAUACGUCAGCGGCAGACGGGUGAGUAACGCGUGGGAACGUACCUUUUGGUUCGGAACAACACAGGGAAACUUGUGCUAAUACCGGAUAAGCCCUUACGGGGAAAGAUUUAUCGCCGAAAGAUCGGCCCGCGUCUGAUUAGCUAGUUGGUGAGGUAACGGCUCACCAAGGCGACGAUCAGUAGCUGGUCUGAGAGGAUGAUCAGCCACAUUGGGACUGAGACACGGCCCAAACUCCUACGGGAGGCAGCAGUGGGGAAUAUUGGACAAUGGGCGCAAGCCUGAUCCAGCCAUGGCCGCGUGAGUGAUGAAGGCCCUAGGGUUGUAAAGCUCUUUUGUGCGGGAAGAUAAUGACGGUACCGCAAGAAUAAGCCCCGGCUAACUUCGUGCCAGCAGCCGCGGUAAUACGAAGGGGGCUAGCGUUGCUCGGAAUCACUGGGCGUAAAGGGUGCGUAGGCGGGUCUUUAAGUCAGGGGUGAAAUCCUGGAGCUCAACUCCAGAACUGCCUUUGAUACUGAAGAUCUCGAGUUCGGGAGAGGUGAGUGGAACUGCGAGUGUAGAGGUGAAAUUCGUAGAUAUUCGCAAGAACACCAGUGGCGAAGGCGGCUCACUGGCCCGAUACUGACGCUGAGGCACGAAAGCGUGGGGAGCAAACAGGAUUAGAUACCCUGGUAGUCCACGCCGU
rnacentral:rRNA from 1 species